UCAAGUGCGUCGCAGUUUUUUAAUAUGGCGACGCAAAGGACUAGUCCAUCCUCAAAGAUUAUACUGCAUCGCAGCUUUUUAAUAUGGCGACGCAAUGAUACCCUAAAAUUCCUAAAAAUUAAUUCAUUUCCUCACAGAGGGUUUCCGCCUCCUCCCUCCAUACAUCUCUUUCUCUCUCAUCCUCCUUUUUCUAGAUCUCCUGUUUGAAACCCACCCUAACCACAACACCACUAUCCCGCUUCCCUUCAAAGGCUCCAAUACCUUGUUCUCUGUCUCCUCCGAAACUCUAAUCAAUGGAAAUCUAAGCUGUGCGAAAAUGGCAAGAACUGGAAAAAUUCUAGGUCCCGGCGCGACGAAGAAGGCUACAUCUCGAAGAAUUAAUGUUCGUUUGCAGUUUCCGUUGGGUAUUAUUGUUUGAUUUUUGAACGCUGAGUAAUAUGCUGAACAUGUUGGUGUUGGAGCUCUCGUUUACUCCGCCGCCAUCCAUGAUUACCUUCCUGCUGAGUGCUACAUCUAACAGCAUAUUAGAUCGAGCGAUUGAUUCCGAGGAAGCUCAGCAUCAUGACUUUCUCAGGCUGGAGCAUAUUGAAGGAUAUCAUGAAUUGUCUGCAAAAACCAAGAUAUACUUCUCCACAGCUGUUGGAAAAUGGGAUGCUGAUUUUUAUGUCAAGGUGGAUGACGAUGUACAUUUAAAUUUAGGUGUUUUUACGUCAACUCUUGCUCAUUAUCGAUCAAAACCAAGAGUGUAUAUCGGAUGUAUGAAAUCUGGACCCGUUCUGGCUGAUAAGAAUGUUAAAUACCAUGAACCAGAAUUCUGGAAGUUUGGGGAAGAUGGAAACAAGUACUUCCGCCAUGCAACUGGGCAGAUCUAUGCCAUCUCCAAAGAUUUGGCAACAUAUAUUUCUAUAAAUCAGGUCUCAUCUCAUUUGUGUUAACUAUAUUCACACCUUAACCAAAAUGUUUCUUUAGAUGGAACCGCUUUGCUAGUGGAUGAUUUCGUGAAGAAGCAAGGGAAACACUAGAAGAUUCUGGGCAGCAACUAAUAUUUUUUUUUUGUUGGGUGUCAAGAGAAACCGUUAGAUGGAAUACAUUGUUGUAAAUAUUUCAAGCUUUUGUAUUGUAAGAUUUAUGAAGGUACUGCCUUUACGUAUUUAGUCUUAUUG